GCACCUGAGCCCAGUCAACCUAAUUUUUGCAUUCCAGCCCCUAUCCUUAUUGGUAAUCACGGCACAAUUAUUCUUUAUCAUGUUAAUCUUGCACUCAAGUACCCUAAUACCUUGAUAAUUGUUAUUCUAACCCUGCUCCUUGUACUUUAACAAAAGAUCUUGUUUUUUUCCUUAUUUAACUACUGUUCGGAUCCUUGCUAUAAUUCUGUUUAAGC
rnacentral:lncRNA from 1 species